rnacentral:rRNA from 1 species
UACAGAGGUCCCAAGCGUUGUUCGGAUUCACUGGGCGUAAAGGGUGCGUAGGCGGUGGGGUAAGUCUGAUGUGAAAUCCCGCAGCUUAACUGCGGAACUGCAUUGGAAACUACUUCACUAGAGGAAUGGAGGGGAGACUGGAAUACUUGGUGUAGCAGUGAAAUGCGUAGAUAUCAAGUGGAACACCAGUGGCGAAGGCGAGUCUCUGGACAGUUCCUGACGCUGAGGCACGAAAGCCAGGGGAGCAAACAGG